rnacentral:tRNA from 1 species
UUUAAAAGACAGUAGUUAAACUCUACUAUUAAGGA